rnacentral:rRNA from 1 species
AAAAAAAUGCGGUAAAAGUAUAAGCACUUUAUACUGUGAACUGCGAAUGGCUCAUUAAAUCAGUUAUCGUUUAUUUGAUAGUACCUUACUACAUGGAUACCUGUGGUAAUUCUAGAGCUAAUACAUGCUACAAACCCCGACUUCAGGAAGGGGUGUAUUUAUUAGAUAAAAAACCAACGCCCUUCGGGGCUCCUUGGUGAAUCAUAAUAACUUAACGAAUCGCAUGGCCUUGCGCCGGCGAUGGUUCAUUCAAAUUUCUGCCCUAUCAACUUUCGAUGGUAGGAUAGUGGCCUACCAUGGUGGCAACGGGUAACGGGGAAUUAGGGUUCGAUUCCGGAGAGGGAGCCUGAGAAACGGCUACCACAUCCAAGGAAGGCAGCAGGCGCGCAAAUUACCCAAUCCCGAUACGGGGAGGUAGUGACAAUAAAUACUGAUACGGGGCUCUUUCGGGUCUCGUAAUUGGAAUGAGAACAAUUUAAAUCCCUUAACGAGGAACAAUUGGAGGGCAAGUCUGGUGCCAGCAGCCGCGGUAAUUCCAGCUCCAAUAGCGUAUAUUAAAGUUGUUGCAGUUAAAAAGCUCGUAGUUGAACCUUGGGCCUGGCUGGCCGGUCCGCCUCACCGCGAGUACUGGUCCGGCUGGGCCUUUCCUUCUGGGGAACCUCAUGGCCUUCACUGGCUGUGGGGGGAACCAGGACUUUUACUGUGAAAAAAUUAGAGUGUUCAAAGCAGGCCUUUGCUCGAAUACAUUAGCAUGGAAUAAUAGAAUAGGACGUGCGGUUCUAUUUUGUUGGUUUCUAGGACCGCCGUAAUGAUUAAUAGGGAUAGUCGGGGGCGUCAGUAUUCAGCUGUCAGAGGUGAAAUUCUUGGAUUUGCUGAAGACUAACUACUGCGAAAGCAUUCGCCAAAGGAUGUUUUCAUUAAUCAAGGGAACGAAAAGUUAGGGGAUCGAAAAACGAUCAAAUACCCUCCGUAGUCUUAACCAUAAAACUAUGCCCAACUAGGGGAUCGGAACGGGGAUUCUAUUAAUAACCC